AACGAACGCUGGCGGCAUGCCUAACACAUGCAAGUCGAACGAGACCUUCGGGUCUAGUGGCGCACGGGUGCGUAACGCGUGGGAACCUGCCCUUAGGUUCGGAAUAACUCCCCGUAAGGGGUGCUAAUACCGGAUAAUGUCUUCGGACCAAAGAUUUAUCGCCUUUGGAUGGGCCGGCGUUGGUUUAGCUAGUUGGUAGGGUAAAAGCCUACCAAGGCGACGAUCCAUAGCUGGUCUGAGAGGAUGAUCAGCCACACUGGGACUGAGACACGGCCCAGACUCCUACGGGAGGCAGCAGUGGGGAAUAUUGGACAAUGGGCGAAAGCCUGAUCCAGCAAGGCCGCGUGAGUGAUGAAGGCCUUAGGGUUGUAAAGCUCUUUUACCCGGGAUGAUAAUGACAGUACCGGGAGAAUAAGCUCCGGCUAACUCCGUG
rnacentral:rRNA from 1 species